rnacentral:rRNA from 1 species
GAUGAACGCUAGCGGCAGGCUUAAUACAUGCAAGUCGAACGGUAACAGGCCCUUCGGGUGCUGACGAGUGGCGGACGGGUGAGUAAAGCGUAGGAAUCUGCCCAGUUGAACGGGAUAGCUUAGGGAAACUUAAGGUAAUACCGUAUAAGCCCGAGAGGGGAAAGCAGGGGACUGUUAAAGGCCUUGCGCGAUUGGAUGAGCCUACGUCGGAUUAGCUAGUUGGUGGGGUAAAGGCCUACCAAGGCGACGAUCCGUAGCUGGUCUGAGAGGACGACCAGCCACACUGGGACUGAGACACGGCCCAGACUCCUACGGGAGGCAGCAGUGGGGAAUAUUGGACAAUGGGCGCAAGCCUGAUCCAGCGAUGCCGCGUGUGUGAAGAAGGCCUGCGGGUUGUAAAGCACUUUCAGUGGGGAGAACGAGCCUGGGUUAAUACCUGGCGGAAGAUGUUACCCACAGAAGAAGCACCGGCUAACUCUGUGCCAGCAGCCG